GAAAAGAAACUGAUCUGUAACUUCCUCUUCGAACAACUUCAGCAAGCCAGGAUGAAACGUUUGUGGGUAGUGUCUUAGUCCAUUUAGAGUUUCUAUACAGAAAUACCUGAGGCUGGGUAAUUUAUGAAGAAAAAAAUGCUUAUUUGGUUCACGAUUCCGAUGGCUGGAAGAUUGGGUAUCUGCUGAAAGCCUCAGGCUGCUUCUGCUCCCGGUGGAAGAUGAAGGGAAGCUGGCGUGUGCAGAAAUCACAUGGGUGAGAAAGGAGGUCCAUUUGAGUCCUUGCUCCCUUUUGCAAUUGUGGCCAGGGAGGCAGCUGGUGACUGAUUGAUCCCCUUUCCCUCUGGAGCUUCAACUGGGACUGUCCUGGAGACUGGCUACCAUCAUGCCCAUCAGGGAAGAGGCCUGAGGCCCAGAAUACUCAGUACCUCUCAAUGACCCUCAGACGCUGUAGGAAGAGGAUUGGUUCACCUUUUAACCCAGAAUUUCUCACAUUGAAUGGACAGGAUGCAUUCCAAGAGGCCAGAGUAUUUGCAUCUCAGCUCCUGAUGGUUUCCACCACCACCAUUACUUUCUCUAUGUCAAGAUACCUGGGAAGCCGGUGUUUAAUUUGCAUUCUUGGAGCCCAGGAAUUGUCUUCUACAAACUUUUCUUCCUAGUACCAUGUAAACGUACACAGGAAACGUUCAGAAAACAUCAGCCAAAUAGAAGAAUAAGGAAAUUCCCUCACUGACUAGAUAUUGGUGUUUGAUUCUGUCCUGCUUUGUACUCAAUGGCUAUUUCGGGGUUUCCAUUGCGGAAAACUAUUUGGAAAAUUGCAAGCCACGAGACAAGCCUCUAAGCUACUCCAGGAUCAUUGAGGACUCUCCAUGGGUUCUUAUUGUUAAAGAGUUUAACCCCUCAAGCCACUGCAUUUUUACUAUAUGCCUUGAACUACAAGAUGUGUUAAGAUUUAUAGGAUAAGGUUCUCAUCUCUAAAAACUCAUGGUCUCGGUGGAGAAGCAGUAUUUACACACAUGGAGAAGUUGAGAGUGCUUGAAUGUGGAGUAUAAAGUGUGCGAUAUUGACAAGAAGCUCUAUGAAAGUUCAGGAAGAGGAGGAGCAAGUGAGGAUGGAGAUGGACUUUGCAGAAUGGAGGAGAGGCAAAGAAACGGUUAGAAACAAUCUACAUAAUGAAAAGUCACUUUUGGGAGUUGUUUUAAGGCAGAGUAUCAUAUCGCAUCAAAACUGCUCCAUAAGUCCUGCCACUCCACGUGCAAUGCCAUGAACUUGAAGAAAUUGCUGCUGCUGCAAACCAAUGGGCUUUGGGGAACUGUGCUUCCCUUCAGAAAGGAAAGAGUAUUUAACGAUGAAAAGGAAGGUGGAUUUUCCCUACUCAUGCUUCCUAGAGAUUUGGUGAGGAUUUGUUGAGUCAUGGGACAUUUCAGCUUGCCAAGCUUCUUUAGCUUUAGCACGUGUUUCCACCAGUGUCCCUUAACGGAGAGGAUGACUAUGUCACUGAAGAAGUGGAGGGGCUGAAAAUGGACUCAGCUCUUGGCCCCUGUAGAGACUGCAAGACUCCGUGCACACCGUGACAGUCGGGGCUUCCUCUGAGCACUGCGCCGUUCAGCCCUAUUGCGCAACCUGCCACGCCCUGUUACUGUAAAUGGAACACCGGCUGUGAGCUGGUCAAGGCCCUGCCAUGACAAGGCCACUUGCAUAGGACUCCAAAUUAAAAAAAAAAAAAAAAAAGGCCUUUCUUAUUGACUGAAAAACUGGUUGUGUUUUUCAUAUUUUUCACUUUCUGGAGCUGAAUUAUUAAUAGGCAAAAAUUAGGUGGGGCUUCAUUGAUAUUCUCACCAGCUUUUACAAACCAAGAAUCGGAAAGUGUGCCUCGGUGAGUUGCCUUUUGUUAGCAGUGUGGAGAUGCAGGCAAAAGUGAUCAGCGUGGUUUGUGUUUGCAGCCGCCCCUCCCCUCUCUUCAGAGUCUCUCCUUCCCGACUGCAAGGUGCGUCUUUAAUGUGCCACACUGACAAGGCGUUUCAGCCAUGCAGCUAAUUAAUAUCAUGCCGAGGCUCAAUGUGACAGGUCCUUCAGACUCAUAAAUCAGAAACCACUAACAAAUGUCGUUCCUUUUCUGAUCUCUUUCUCUUGCUUUUUAAUAUGUUGAUUUACUUUCAGUAUGCAUAACC